CAGCUGUCUGCGAUUUCAAGUCUCCCACCUCAGAUCUCUAGCUGACUCACUGUCAGUGCCCCUCACUCCACGACUGCCUCUCCUCUCUCCUGUCUGAGUGAGUCGAAGACCCACAGUUUUAUCGUCUGUCCCCCUGGGAAGACUUCAGCGCUAACCUUAGAUGACCAGUCCUCACCCAAGACCCCCAUAGCAUUCAGAAGCUGGAUGAAGUAAUGGAAUGGGUGAUUCUGGAGAGAGCUCAGUCCAUUCCAGUAUCUUCAGCAGAACUGUCUGCUUUGUUGACUGCAUCAGCCUAGUCAAGACUGAUGCUACCAUGGAGAGUGCCAGGGCCUUCAGAGGCUGUGACUUCUCUACUGACAUCCAAGCACAGGGAGCAGCACAUGAGGAGAGAUCCUGCCCUGCCUCCAAGAUCCGCAAAUACCUAGAGGCCAGAUGAGAGUUUGGAGCUUGUGAGACAGUCCACAGUUUAAUGGGGGUGGGGAGGGGCUCCAGUUGGGUUCCUAUGCUCCUAAAAUGAAAGAGUUCAGAAGCAGUUGAAUAUUAAGCAACCAGAGUUUAAUGAGAGCAGGCAAGCUUUACGAAGCCAGAUGCCUAACAAUAUACAUCCACAGGUCUUUAGUUUCCAUUAUUCCUGCCCUGUUCCUCCCUCAGGGGGACACUGAGGAAGGAAGGUGCUUCUCUUUAAAGGACACUUUACAAUUAAUUCAAUCUAAGUAGACAUAUAAGAUGCGAGAAUCUGCACAGAGGUUCAGGUGCCCCAAAGCUGACUAGUUAGUAGAGGAGAAGUAGUAGCAGUUUUGUGCCCCCUAUCUAGGAAGUCCCUGAAGAAAGUUGAAGUUGCUCCAGCUCAUUGACCAAUGGCUCUUUUAUAGGCCCUGUUUUGUGGGCUACCACCGUCUCUGCAUCUUGGUUAGGGGUGGAGCGAGCCACCAGCACAACAUUUAUAACUUGGCCAUCAGUCAACCACCAUCAUCUUUUCACCCAGUUUCUGGGCUCUGAGCAGAAACUCAGAGGUCCUAUUUCAGGGGACCUCUUUGGCAGACCCUCCCGGAGCUAAUGUUCUAAUAUAAGGACAGUGUCCCCCCCAAUAACUGCAGAAAGGUCAAUGCAACUGAAGCAUGAGCCCCCACACUGCAGCCAUGCAGUUCACAGAAGGUGAGGGCUCAGUGAGCCUUGUGUCUUGUGGAUUGGGGACUUCCUGGGCUUCCUGGCACGUGUAACUACAUUUUGCUCUCAGUGAGUGAUAUGGGCACAGCUCACCAACAGUUUUUGGAUGUGAAUUCUAGAAGUAGCUGCCUGUGCUCCAACAUCUCCCUGUGAGCCUUGUGCCCCAGAGGGAGCAGCUUUUCCCUGGUGCCCGCUGUGAUAGUCACAGUCACAAAAUUCCUGUAUCACUAUACCUUCUCAGAGUCCCUCCUACUAUUUGAAGCAUCACAACUGCAUGACUCAGUUUGCAAACUGAGUAGGCCCACAGGUGUUUCUGUCCAUCACUUCAGUCUUUUAAACAUGUGCCCCGUAACCUUAAACUGAGAUGUUCAGCAAUGUAGUGAAUACAUUACUUAGCAUGCUCAGCAAUGAACUCACCCAUCCAUGAAUAUGUUGAGGUUCUGUGAAUAAAACCCCAAAGUUUUCUGUGUUCAAAGAAGACACUGUGAUCUGACUGAGGUCCAUGCCCUCCUUACCUGCUGAAGGAACUACCUCUUAAAUCUUCUCCACUCUUUUAGGGUCCCAUCUCUGCUUCAUUUGGCUUUGAACUUGGCUCAAUUAGUGUUUUCUAAACAGGGUAGGCAUGAACAAUGCCAUUUUAACACGACUUUGUCUC